GAAUGAGUUGGCAGUCAUCCUAGUCAGUGGAGAAUCAUUUUUGCCCUCUGCCAGUCUUUGUUGUCCCCAAUGUCUGCAGCUUGACCUUGUUCUUUUUAAGAUUUGGUUUGGGUGAUCACCUAAUCAGUAAUUAAUUAAGCAGAAUGAGGUGUUGGAAUUCAACAGACACUGGAAUGGAAAGGUUGCAACACAUGUAGAGAUGUUGAUUUAAGAAAAAUUUGGAGAGCUCUCUUAAUUUUUCCCAGAGCUGUAUGUGCAUUCACUUCAAAUGACGAGUAACAAAGGAACUAAAGAAACAAAAAAAACUGAAUUAUCUGUCGCUUGGUUCAUUCACUUUUUGUUCUUUUGUUAGCUGUAUACAUGAGUCAUCCCCAAAAAGAUUUCCACUGCCUCUUAAUACCAAUUACAUUUGCCUCUCCUACCUCAUAACGUAAUGUGUGUGUGUGUGUGUGUGUGUGUGUGUGUGUGUGUCAGGGAGGACAUGUGAGAUGCGGAGGAUGUUUAGGAUUGGACCGUCUCCUUUGAUCAGCGUUUUCAAAAUUGCUACGGGCUGCCUGGAAACUCCACCACUCUCUCUUUUCCUAAAACAGAUAGACAUGCACGCAAUAUAGUGACAGAGAGAGAAAGGGAUGAAAAAGCAAUAAAGAGAGGUGAAUGGAAUGGAAAAUGCGGGAAACAUGAAAGGUGAUACCCGCGUACAGACUGUUUCAUCUGCUGAGUGCGGCGAGAUGGAGCUUUGGGACACCAAACUACAUAACAUUUCAUAAGAAACACUGAGAAGGAGAGAGACUCCUGACUGAUAUUUUCACAUUAACACCUGUGGUGAACAGUUUGCAAUAAACCAAAACUGAAAAGAGUGUUGUAUUUUGAGUUUUACAUUUUUAACAAAUUUGAAUGGUGAUUGAUUUAUUUUAUUUCUCACUGUAUACCUACCAGUAUUAGAAGUAUUCUCCUUCUGAAAGACCCCUAAGGGCAAACAUGCUUUGGCAUCAGGAAUUAUGCUUUGACUCAGUUGUUCUGAAAUGGUGGGUCAGAACUGUUCUGACAGAGAA
ensembl:lncRNA